UACGGAGGGUGCGAGCGUUGUUCGGAAUCACUGGGCGUAAAGGGCGCGUAGGCGGACUCUUAAGUCGGGGGUGAAAGCCCAGGGCUCAACCCUGGAAUUGCCUUCGAUACUGAGAGUCUUGAGUUCGGAAGAGGUUGGUGGAACUGCGAGUGUAGAGGUGAAAUUCGUAGAUAUUCGCAAGAACACCAGUGGCGAAGGCGGCCAACUGGUCCGAUACUGACGCUGAGGCGCGAAAGCGUGGGGAGCAAACAGG
rnacentral:rRNA from 1 species